UGAACGUGGACCCGUAAAGUACACCGAAUUUGAGAAAUUGUGAAAGCAUGGAAAAUGGUUGUUGAAGAUAAAUAAUGGAGAAACAACAUUGUUCUAUGAGAAUGCAUCCAUGUUUACAACACGUGUAACAUGGAUAGUUAAACAUCACUAUGACAUGAGCUACCCUAGAUGGAGUGAUGUACCCCAAGUGCAUAAGGAUGAGUUAAUCGAUCGUGUUCGGCAUGCUAAAAAGGUAAAUUUGGUGGACUUCUACAAGGAAACCCACUUGUCCAAGAAGAAUGAUAAAUUUGUGACUUCUGCCACCGAAGACAUUUAUGACAUGGUUGGAAAGCUGGAUACUCUAAAACCAGAGAAACAAAUUGACAAAGAAGCA